GCCGGGUGAUGCUAUCGUUAUCCGGAAUCACUGGGCGUAAAGCGUCUGUAGGUGGUGAUGCAAGUCACUGGUGCAAAACUCUGGCUCAACCGGAGGAAAGCCGGUGAAACUGCAUGACUAGAGUGUGGGAGAGGUAGAAGGAAUUCCCUGAGUAGCGGUGAAAUGCGUAGAUACAGGGAAGAACACCGGAGGCGAAAGCGUUCUACUGGAACACAACUGACACUGAGAGACGAAAGCUAGGGGAGCGAAUGGG
rnacentral:rRNA from 1 species